UUGUUGCUAAAAAGAUUUGUAACAAAAAAAUAUUUUAAACCAAAAAAAAUGUGCAAUUAAAAAAAUAUUGGUAACAAUAUAAAGGAUUUGUAACAAAAAUAUAUUAAACAAAAAAAUAACAAAAAAGAUUCCUAGCUAAAAAAAGAUUUGUAGCCAAAAAAAAAAAGAUUUUGUAACUCCCCCCAAAAAAUUGACUUUAUUUUAAAACAUAUAUUGAAAAACAAAUAAAUAAUAAAAAAAGGUUUGUAAAACUUUUUUGCUGGAUAUUAUUUUUUUUAAAUAUAAAUUAUAAAAUAUAAAAAUUCGCUUUUUCUUGCAUAAAAAGACAUAAUUUGUUGCUCCGCCCCUGACUUGUGGCGUGCCUCUGGGCAUCAGUGCUGAGCCUCGGCCUGGUCCUGUAAACCUUCUGGCAGAUGGGAUGUGGAGCUUCCAGCUCAUGUAACACAACCCUCCAACUUAUUUCCAGUCUGCAAAGUGGGCAAGACUGGACCCUCACUUGGUUACGGCUACAUUUGAUGACACCGGGGUCACCUGACAGCACACCCCGGGUCAUGUGUGGUGUUAUGUCAUGGCGUGGAAACAGGAGACGCCAUCUUGGCAGUCAUUUUCUAGGAAUUGUCAACAGCUCACUCGUUUUACUCCCAGCUGACUAACACUCAUCUUUUUUCCAUCAUGGACAGCUAGACAGCUAGAUACAGUAUAUUGCCAAAAGUACCUGCCUUGACUCACCUAUGAACUAGAAGUGCCAUCCCAUUCCUAACCCAUAGGCUUCAAUAUGAUGUCAUCCACCUUUUGCAGCUAUUACAGCUUCAACUCUUCUGGGAAGGCUGUCCACAAGGUUGCCGAGUGUGUUCAUAGGAAUUUUCCACCAUUCUUCCAAAAGCGCUUUGAGUACGGCCCCAGCCACCCAGAGAGCCCAACCCAAAACAGCAGUGCCCAGGGAACAAGGGACCACCGGCCCCACGCAGUCAGGCCGGCCAGCGACAGGAACCCCAGAACCGGGCCCACCGUGCCGCCCGGCAGAGGACAAGGCACGGGAGAAGCCGGGGACAGCCUGCCCCAGAGCCAGCGAGAGACCACACCCCACGCAGGCAGAGGUGACCAGAGACUACCCGUAGCUGGAUGGGAGGACCGCCCCACCUGAAGGGACCCCAAGGUUGGAGAUGGAACCUCCAGCAACUAUCGCACGGCCACACAAGCUGGCAUCAAUUACAGGAGGACACUACAUUACGUAAUAUCAUGGCAGAAAUGACAUCAAGAUGAGGGACAUUAAUGUUUAUAAAUGUGAACAUAAUGUCCUGUGACCCCUCCCUCCCAGUGCCACAAAUAGAUGACAGUCCUGUGGGAAGCACUCUGAUGUUAUUUGGCUUUGUGGAACUAUUUGCAUGUUGGAAUGCUAUUUUUGCACCAAUCAAAGCUGCUUAUUUUCCUUUGGAGCCAAAAGUGAGUUGGCCGCGUUCCACCGCCCGCUCCCAAACAUCACUCGGCCUCAUCGUCCUCCAUGAGUGCGUCCUCCUGCCAAGUGUACUCCUGCCUCUGGUGGACGGCUCUCCGUCGUCAUGGCAACGCUGACAACCCAGAGUGACGGAGGCCGCAGGUGCGCCCGUGUACUCUUGGUUCUGGAUCAGCCGAUGAUCCGUCACCAGGCCCAGGAGGGUUUGUGGGUGCUAAAUCGCACACGCAGGCAGAAAUCUUCUCAAAGCAGGGAGCUUCUUGUACACAUUUUUCUAAGCUCACAUCAUUUUUAAAGACUCAUAUUAUCAUUUUUAAAGACUCAUAUUAUCAUUUUUAAAGACUCAUAUUAUCAUUUUUAAAGGCUCUCAUUAUCAUUUUUAAAGGCUCAUAUUAUCAUUUUUAAAGGCUCAUAUUAUCAUUUUUAAAGACUCAUUAUCAUUUUUAAAGGCUCAUAUUAUCAUUUUUAAAGGCUCAUAUUAUCAUUUUUAAAAGCUCAUAUUAUCAUUUUUAAAGACUCAUAUCAUUUUUAAAGAUUCAUAUAAUUUUUUAAAGGCUCAUAAUAUAAUUUUUAAUGGUUAAUACAACAAUUUUUAAAGGCUCAUCUCAUAUUAUCAUUUUUAAAGGCUCAUAUUAUCAUUUUUAAGGACUCAUAUAAUUUUUAAAGGUUCAUAUCAU